AACAACAAAAACCUAACUUGUGAAAGGUCUUAAGCUCUUCCUGUUUUUAAGUAGAACUUGGAUUUUGAGAUAUUUUUAAGUUUGUAAAGCUGUUUCUUCUGACAAUAAUAGAGAUAAAAGUAGAGCAUUCAUACUCAAAUCCUUGUUGGUUUGGAAUUUCAAGCAAGGACGUGAAGACAGAAGCACUCUACGAGCACUGGAAGUAUCUGGGAUACUUAUGCCUGCUUAUUUUUUGUGGUUUUUAAGGUUUCUUUCAAAAUGAAGAUUCACUCAGUGGUUGUAGCUGUCUUGGUAAGCCAGGUUCUAGUUUACGAAGUUUUAUUCCAGAAGGAAAAGAGCCACUUCACCUAGAAAUCUUCCAAACAAAUCAACUUUUGCUCUGUGAGUAAUCCAGGCUAUCAAGACUACAUUUUAGGUGACAGAUGUGGCCAUUUCAGCCUUGAAGGCAGUGGUGCAGCUUGCUGAGCCAUACCUCUGUGAAUCUUGAGCAAGCACUUUCACCUUGGAGUGUAUGAGAGCUCCUCGAGCUGAAGGAACAUCAGUUGCCCUUGCAGGAGCUGGGUGGUGUUUGAUGAUUCUGGAGUGUUUGACUAGACAGCACUUGCAACUGAGCAUGUCAGGUAUGAAGGAGGUAUCUGGUCAGAGAAGGUGUUUUCUGAGGCUGCUUCCCAGAUCCCUAGGGGAUAUGUUCCUGCCAUUCAGCCUUUUUGGCAGUUAUUUCCCCUUGUACAAGCAGGCCCUUUGUCCCUUACCUGAGAAAGAAGGCCCACACCUGGAUUCAUAUUAAUAGGUAUGAUUUAAAAUUUUUUUCAGAUAAAUCUUCUAUCAGAUAGUGCCUGAUACAGAUAAUUCUUUUGGAUUUUCUAUAUAUAAGUAUAUUCACUGAAGAAGCCUACUUUUAGCCAUGUAAAAAUGGACUUAUAUUCUUCUAGUAACUGGAAGACUGGCUAAUGCAAUGAUCAUAAUGUUAAUAAUGUUGCUUGGUGUUUUGUAGUUUUGAAAGUACUUUCCUGUUUCUAUACCAUUAGUCAGCUAACCAGGUUUUGCUAAGCUUAGUUUACAUACUUGAUAAAGAAGCAGAGUGCCUCAGACGCCACUUCCGACAUCUUAUGGACAAUCUCUAAUUUCAUGCAAGAACAUUUAACCCUGGGUGUUCAGUAUUAAGCCAAGCAAUAUAAAUCUAAAGAACUGGUUUCUGUCCAGGACCAAAAGAACUCCCUUAUGUUUCUCUUGCUUUAAAAUAGUCUGUCAGUCGAAGCAUUUGAAGGUGAAGGGAUAACUGAUGAGUUUAGGAAAUUAGAGAGGGUGCCAAUCUCUAUGGGUAUAGAAGUUGGUAGAAAGACAAGUACCUGGAACUGGUAAGAGUUCCUGUUAAGGAAGAGGAGCCUGAUUUUUUGUUUUGUUUUUUGUUUUUUGAGAUGGAGUCUUUGCUUUGUCACCCAGGCUGGAGUUCAGUGGCGUGGUCUCAGCUCACUGCAAGCUCUGCCUCCUGGGUUCACGCCAUUCUCCUGCCUCAGCCUCCCGAGUAGCUGGGACUACAGGUGCCCGCUACCAUGCCCAGCUAAUUUUUUGUAUUUUUAGUAGAGACGGGGUUUCACCGUGUUAGCCGGGUGGUCUGGAUCUCCUGACCUUGUGAUCCGCCUGUCUCGGCCUCCCAAAGUGCUGGGAUUACAGGCGUGAGCCACCAGGCCUGGCCAAGAGGAGCCUGAUUACAUUUACUCUCCAUGUUGAGGACUCAGAUUCUGGUCAGUGACUAGAGAAGGUCAAAUUAUGAGGGUUUUCAUUUGCCCAUUGAUUCAGUAAGUGUGGAGUGCUGGGGUCUCAGUUGAGGGUGGGUAUGACUGGUGCACAAAACCAACACCUUUGUCGGGGAGCUGCCAGUCUACAGGUGGGAGGUGAAGCUGUAUAGAAUAAUCACAUAAGAAUGCAGAUGCGAUUGGAAGGAGGCGUGAGCACCAUGAAGAAUUUCAGAGUGUCCUAAGACUGGGUCAGGUUGCCGUUCUGUGCUUAUUUCUGGAGGAAAUGACAUUCGAAUUUGGGUCUAAAAGGUGAAAGAAGUGGCAGGUGAAAGGGGUGGCGGAGAUGGGGGAACAGGUUCAGGAACUCAGUGGGUUUAAGGAGCU
rnacentral:lncRNA from 10 species